rnacentral:rRNA from 1 species
GUGCCAGCCGCCGCGGUAAUACCGGCAGCACGAGUGAUGGCCGAUCUUAUUGGGCCUAAAGCGUCCGUAGCCGGCCGGACAAGUCCGUUGGGAAAUCCACGUGCCCAACACGUGGGCGUCCAGCGGAAACUGUCCGGCUUGGGGCCGGAGGACUCGAGGGGUACGUCCGGGGUAGGAGUGAAAUCCUGUAAUCCUGGACGGACCACCGGUGGCGAAAGCGCCUCGAGAGGACGGACCCGACGGUCAGGGACGAAAGCUAGGGUCUCGAACCGGAUUAGAAACCCCGGUAGUCC